AAUUGCACCCUAUUCCCUACAUAUUGCACUACUAUAGGCCCUGAUCAAAAGUAGUGCACUAAAUAGGGAAUAGGGUGCCAUUU
rfam:Salmo salar isolate Sally breed double haploid chromosome ssa11, whole genome shotgun sequence.